AUGAACGCUGGCGGCGUGCUUAACACAUGCAAGUCGAACGAAGCACCUCGCCCGAUGAAAUGGAGUGCUUGCACAAAGUGGAUUCAAUUGAGGUGACUGAGUGGCGGACGGGUGAGUAACGCGUGGGUAACCUGCCCUAUACAGGGGGAUAGCAGUUGGAAACGACUGAUAAUACCGCAUAAGCGCACAGGACCGCAUGGUCUGGUGUGAAAAACUCCGGUGGUAUAGGAUGGACCCGCGUCUGAUUAGCUAGUUGGUGAGGUAACGGCUCACCAAGGCGACGAUCAGUAGCCGACCUGAGAGGGUGACCGGCCACAUUGGGACUGAGACACGGCCCAAACUCCUACGGGAGGCAGCAGUGGGGAAUAUUGGUCAAUGGGGGAAACCCUGAACCAGCCGACGCCGCGUGAGUGAAGAAGUAUUUCGGUAUGUAAAGCUCUAUCAGCAGGGAAGAUAAUGACGGUACCUGACUAAGAAGCACCGGCUAAAUACGUGCCAGCCGCCGC
rnacentral:rRNA from 1 species